AUACGUAGGGGGCGAGCGUUGUCCGGAAUGAUUGGGCGUAAAGGGCGCGUAGGCGGCCCGGUAAGUCUGGAGUGAAAGUCCUGUUUUUAAGAUGGGAAUUGCUUUGGAUACUGUCGGGCUUGAGUGCAGGAGAGGUAAGUGGAAUUCCCAGUGUAGCGGUGAAAUGCGUAGAGAUUGGGAGGAACACCAGUGGCGAAGGCGACUUACUGGACUGUAACUGACGCUGAGGCGCGAAAGUGUGGGGAGCAAACGGGAUUAGAUACCCUGGUAGUCCACACUGUAAACGAUGAAUGCUAGGUGUAGGGGGUAUCGACCCCUUCUGUGCCGCAGUCAACACAAUAAGCAUUCCGCCUGGGGAGUACGGCCGCAAGGUUGAAACUCAAAUGAAUUGACGGGG
rnacentral:rRNA from 1 species